rnacentral:lncRNA from 1 species
UGCACGGCCCUUUGUCGAGGACUUACCGUGGUUUUAGGGCAGCGCCGGCUCUGCCGGGCUUUAAUGGCAAUCACAGCCAUUUGAAAAAAGCUGCGGCGCACCGCGAGGAGCGCGACGUGAGAGCCGCGGUGCCGCGCAGCUCCUCGGGGCGGCGGGCGGCGGGCGGAGCGGCGCGGGGCCGGGCUGCACCGCGGGCGGGAGCGCUUCCCACGCGGCCUCGGCUCUCGUCGCGUGCUUCGUGCGAGUUCUGCUUCAGUUCUCAUCGCACCUCCGUGCAGGCAGCGAUGGCGCAGAGCGGUGCAAACCCCAUCUCUUUUUAGAUCGAGCAUAUUUUUUCAGAGGGAGAAAAAAGUUACGAUGUUGCAAGUAAAAGAUUUUAUUGACGGCUGCGAACUUGUAUUUUGUCUUUCCAAACUGCCGGCCGCUCACGUGCCGCUACACGUGACGGCAGGGGCGGCCGAGGGGCUGCUCGCGGGGCCCGGCGCGGAACGGCACGGCUCGGCGGCGCCUCCUGCGGCAGCGCGGGGCUCGGCGCGGGCAGCGGGGCGCGAGGCGCCAUAGGCCGCAGCGGGCCGCGGGCGCGAGGGAGGCUGCGCGGCGCGUGCUCAGGCGCGGCGCGGGGCGGGAACGGCGUUCCCUCAGCGGCCGCCCGGGCUCCUCGUGGCCGCCGCCAUUCUGCGUCCCGGUCGUCCGGAGCUCGAUUUCUGUGAGAAAUGUUUCCCUCCCGGUUGCUGCCGCUCACGCGGAGAUCAGGUGCUGAUCUGGAGAAUUUGUACCAAAUAUUUCCAGGCUGAGUAGGAAACACCACUCCAUCCCCACUCACUGGUGCUGGAUCUUGGUACAUUAUCUUCACAUUUCCAUACUGAGGUAGGAAUACCUCGCCAAGGAGGAAAGGAAUUUGAACAGACUUAACUCAGAGCCUGUGCAGCUCCCACUGGCUGGACUCUAAAAUGAAGAGAGAGUUGAUUCAUUCCAAUUGCGACACAGCCCACCAGAAUUAAAAGCUGCUUUAACCUACCAGAGAGAUUGGGUCAAACACCGAUUCACCAGAACGUGUCUACGUGAAGAGGUCUGUGUGAUCCUGCUGGCUAUGAAGUCUCCGUGCUUCUGUGUUGCAUGUGGGGAGUGACAGAAGUCUGACAGAAGUUACGAGGCAUCCAAGUCAGCAGAAGAGGCAGCAUCAGGUAGGAACUCGAUUCCUUUCUUAAUUUCUUUACAGUAAUUGUUUCUUCUUAUCCUCUGGAGUUUUUGCUGAUUCCCUCGCCUUCACUUAGUAAAUCCUCUGUACUUUUACUUUUGAAGCACGUGGCAUGGCUGGAAUAUCAGAGUAAUACAUAACAGAGUAAAACCUGCAGACAGAAAUAGAAAGUAAAUGGAAGAUGAAUUGAUCAGAGGAAGGGCAAAGGAUGGAGGGGAUAAAACGAAGGGAAAGAAAGACAAGAAUAAUACCUUACCUAUGUACUAUAAUUAUUUAUUAUUUUUGUAUGGCGCCCAGGGUAUACAGGAUCUGUUUUGGUGAACAAAUAGGAAAAAAAAAAAAAAAAAAAGGAGUUCUCAGCCCCAAACAGCAAACAUAUUAAUUUAUAAUCUGACAGCUCAGCUAAACAAGCGGUCAGGCCAGGGCGACAAGGAAUAAUUGAGCGCUUACGGAGCAUGAGUUACUUCAGUUCGGUAUCCACACAUGUGUAUGCCAUCAGAUGGAAGUCUCUCGUUUGUGUAAUAAGUUAGUGCAGAAGAAAAAUGUUUCUCUUAGGGAAGUUCUGAGUGAGAGAGAGAGAGUCUGAGGGUGCAGACAAGUGUUUUAAUCUAGAGGAACAAAGAGACUGCCAUUUUAAUACAUUGUAGAAGGAGUGACAAAUUUAACCACAGCCUUACAGCAGGGGCAUGAGGGAGCACUGCAAAUCACCCCCUGGCCAGCCUACAAGGAAGCUCAUAGCAGGCUGAGAAGUGGUACAGAGUAAAGAGAAAAGCAGAGGAGACAGGAGGAAAAACUGGAGCAUUCGCUCUGAGCCAUCCAGAGCUCAAGUUUCUAAUGAGCCGUCCAGACAGGACAGCGAGGAGGUGACCUGAAACAACACUGCUGAGCAGGAGAGAUUCCAGGGGAGAAGCAAACCACAGAAUCGAGGCGGCAGUAGCAGAGUUGUUUUCUAGCACAGUUUCUGCAGUUUCAAUUGCACUUUUAUUCCAAAAGCAAAUUCCAAAGUUUUAUGUCCAUAAAGGUUUAGACAUAAACAAGAAAGAAGUCAGGAAAGCGGUAUGUACUUGUAUAAACAGUUCCACUUUAUAAUUAAUGCUGGAGAUCAGGGAAGUGGGAAUAGCUGUGCAUGUGUGGUCAUUCAGAUUUACUGUUGGCCUUAUUAAAGCCUAGUUCUACAAUAAUUUUAUGCCCAGGUAGGGGCAGAAAGAGAGAGAGCAGGAUGCCCCCAAGCAACCCAUAAAUAGUGUGGUGAAGACAAAGUGUUUAUUACUUAGCUUCACAAAGGCUCUGUAAGUGCUCUCCCAGGGUAUGUAUACUUGUACCCCAGAUGCCAAUUCUGCAAAUUAGCAUUAUUUCUCAAAAUACUAUGUAAACAGAAGUCAUUUAAAUACUUGAUUUCAUCAGACAGAGUACCAGUGUCUUCCUUCUGCAGAAUGAGUGGAGGUUUUUGUUGCCUUUUUAUUUCUCUUUGAGUACUGUUACUGAUGAAAAAAUCUUGCAGGAUCUGGGAUCUUUUCUGAACUUCCGCAGUAUUUUGCCCCACCACUGCCCCCCGCCAUCUUUCUUCCUCCUCUUCCCUCUCCCCGUACCAAAGUAGCCAUUAGCCUUUGAUCUGAAAACUUGCGAGAGACAAGGUGAGAUUACAAACCCGUCAGUCUGAAGGAGCGACUCCGGGGCAUGAACUUUACCAUUUGUCACUGAAGUAUGCUAUUUUGAAUCUUCUCUUUAGCAAUUUCAGUGACUAUGCCAAAAGUUAUUUCAGGGCUGAGACACAUUGGGGAUUACAGGGAUAUGAGAUCCUGUCGAAUAAGCUUUGGGAUGUCCCUUUUUUGUGAGCACAAAAGCCAGCAGUAAGUUCAGCUCAGAUGUUUGAUAAUGAGCUCUGCUGUAUCAUUGCGUGUCCUACAACUGUAAGUUGUUGAAACUUUCAGAAAUGUUUUUUUUUAAAUCCGUUUUUGCAUUGCAUUUCACAUAGAAACAGGUACCCUGGUUUACAGGAGAACAGUAAAACGUGAGGGGAGAGACCCAUAAAACCAUCUCGAAAUGACAAAUAGUUUUGUUUUUGUUUUUGUUUUUGUUUUUGUUUUUGUUUUAUAAAACAUAAUGGAAACAUAUAUGGAUAUAUCAAAAUUUUCCAGAGCUAAAAGCAACUGUAGCAUCCCACUGGGAGGAUGCACUGCUGUCCUGUUGCAUGGGAUAAAGAUACACUUUUAAUCCUGAAUGUUGCAGGACGCUGGACUUUGAAAUCCCUCCUACUACUGCAGCUGCUACUCAGCAGUAAGCACUGAGCAGUAGAUUCUUUUGAGUUAAUUCCAUGGAAAUAGGAAAGGAAGAAAAGAGCAAGCGAGAAUGAUCAGAGACCACUGUGAAUCUGUAUGAUUUCAUGGUACUCUGUGUGGGUGUUACCUGCGUGUGGGGAAACACAUCAGGAGAGUUUAUUCAAGCGUCAUACAUGCUCUGCUCCUUCGAGUCAAAUCAGUAUGAUUCCCAUUCUGCAGGCUGGGCAAAGAGGACAGAAAGUGGAGGAGAGACCAUCCUCAUUAUGUCUUUGUCUCAGGGCACUUUUAGCAUGCCCUGUGUUACUGCUGUGCCGGUCCUUCAGAGCAGACAGAGAGUCUGUGGCGCAGCUAGGAAUAGCAGCCAGGCCCUUCUUCCAAGUCCCAGAGCCUCAAGAGUAUUUUUAGGCAUCUAAUACCAUUAAUUUCAUACUUUUUUUGGGCAAAGUUCUGUGAAACAAGAUCAUGCUUCCUCCUGAAAUAAUUUUAAAAUUAUACUUCUGUGAUUUUGGGCAGUUUUUUUCAGGGAAUAGUAUAAGUUUGGUCCUAUUUAGGAACAAAUGAGCUUCAAAAUGAGGUUUGGGAAGAGUUGCAUGCGGACCGUGCUUUUGUGCAGCCUUGAGGUGUGAUUACGUAUACAGAGAGGAUGGUGCGGGCUCUGUCUUUUGUGGGCUCUGAGCAGGGCUUUGGCAGAAGGACGCGGCCAUUGGGUACCAAGGCAGGGGAGCAGUGGAAGGCUUCUUGCAAUGGCCAUGAGCUUCAGAUUUCUCUUUUGGAAUCUCCAGCAGGCAAAACACUGUGCUUUUGUAUCUUUAGGUACAAAACCUUGCGGAUUUAAGUACAGUGAGACCAUUGCUGUACACCAGCUUACCAAUAUGUUGAUGAAAACGCUGCUAACAGAUGAGAGGCUUCCAGAAGUGCUGGCAGCCGGCCUGCAUCGUGCAGCUGCAGUGCUGAGCCCUUCCCAGAGAGCUCACAGCGCCCUGCAGAAGUACACCCAUUUCCUACAUAUGGUCAGGUUUUUACUAUGCUAACUCAGCAAUCAGUUCAAGCCGUGCUCCUGCAUCCUAUCUAUUAUUAAUUAAUUGAUUUCCUAUAAGCUCGUUACUUCGAUUGCUGUAACUUCCUCACAGCGUGCAGGCAAUGGAAGGCAGUUACCGUCACAAAGAGCAAACACGCAGAAAAAGCCCAUGCAGACACAAGUGAAAGGUCACUCCUAGGAGAAAGCAGAUGAGCAGACAGGCCAUGGCAUGCUCGUGCUGCGGUUCUCUCUUGCUUUUUGGUUAAACACCUCAAAUUCCCAGCAGCAGUUGCUGUACAUCUCCUGUCCCCAGUCCCCACCGUCGCCCACAGCCAUGCUCUGUUUCUCCUGUCCCAUGUCGUGGCCACCUGGUGUGCCCUUCCCUCUCUAUGCACAGUCACUAAGAUGGGCAGAUGUGAGGGGCAGCAUGCUGUUGGCUUGCAGGAUGGAAGAGGCUGAGGAGUAUGCUGGGUCAGGGCUGUGCUGCAUGGAGUCGGACAGUGCUCACAGAGGAGUGUGAGAGGGCUGUUCGUGAGGAGGGCUGUGCAUGUACUGCAGCCGUCAAGGUGCGUCCCGCCCAGCACCAAAUGUGCUUAUUAGAGUGCUAAUGUCCUGCUAGUGGAAUCCUGCCUCUGAGCGUAUUAGGGUAAUGAGUUCACACCUAACUAAUGGAGACUUAAUAGAGUUCCUAACAGGCUGCUUUUUCCCCCACUGUUUAUGACCCCACAGGCCGGAGCUGUGAGGGGAGGGAGAGGCCGAGGCCGCCCGGUCCCACAGGCUCCGCAGCCGCUCUGGCCUCUGCCUGCCUCAGGAGUUGGUUUCCAGGGACAUCAUCCCUCCACCUUUCUGCAAGGAAAAAUAAACAGUUUGAGGCUCCUGCGUCUUUAUUAAACAUUUCCUUCAAGCUGCAUACUUUGGCUGUGUGCCCAAAUGCACCGAGAAAGCUUCCACAGAGCAGCUCAAGGCCAGAGCACGGCUGCCUUGACCAGCAGCCCCGGCAGGGCCCAGCACCUGCGGCAGGCAGCGUGGCUCUGCUCCGCAACGCGGCGAUGCGGCCGUGCUGUGCAGGGAGCUGAUGGUGAGCACAGCACGGCUGUGCGGGGCUGCUGGCGGGCAGGCCUGGUGUCAGUGCAGGAAGGGGUUUGCAGAGCUGCAGGAGCUGAAAGGAAAAGCAGUGCUGCUUUUAAGGCCGUUGCAGGAGGUGAAUGGUAUGUUGGCGUUUGAAAGCUGCAUUCUCUGCCCGCCGUCGGCAGCGCUUCAGCCAGCUGUUGGUGUGGGUUUGGUGUGGGCCGAGGCCUGCCCAAGUGGAGGACCUGGCAGUGCCAAGCGGUGUUGCCAGGCUGGGCAUGACGUGUCCGUGGGGAGCAGCGCCCGGCCGACCCCAGCCUGCACAAAGGGCCCGGCCCUGGGCUGUGCAGGAGGGGCUGAGCUGCGGGCAGCGCGGGCACAGCACGGGGUGAUGUCAGCGCUUCCUUCAGGGCCGGUCAUGUGUGCCUGCCAGGUAAACAGUCUCGAAAUAGCUGGGAGGAAGGCAGCGGAUGGAGCGCCGUCGAGCUGGAACGUGGCCUCCACCCUUUCCUUGCCAUGGCUGUCCUCCUGGGCAACUCUCCCGGCCUGGAGCUGGGCAUGAGGGGCAGAAUUGCCAAAUGCAGGGGCAGAGAUCACACUGAGCUCUGUCAUGAAGGGCAGUUUAGACAUCGAGAUGGCACUGGCAGUGCAGGCAGAGGCUGCUGGCCUGGAGGCGGUUGGUCCCACAGAGUGCGGUGUCCCCACUUCUUACAGAGCCCGGGGGAGGCCGUGGCCCCGCAACUGCGUGGGGACCCAGCACUGGCUGGGUACACAGAGCCUCUCUGUGCCCUGAGCCAGGAACAGGUUAUACUGGGUGCUUAUGGUGUGCGUAAAGUCUCGCUUACAUCAUGCAAUUGAACAACCGAAGUUCAGGUAUAAAAACUCUCUAAGUGCAGGAAUAUUCUUAGCUGCCUCUUUCCUCAUUCACUAGAAAUGUGCCUUUUCUGUGAUGCCUCUCAGAGCAGCCUGGCAGUUAGUAACUGCAAAUGAAUUGGUAAAAACAAAAAUCAGUAAGAAUAAAAAUAGAAUUAGUAACAAUAAAAGUUAGUAACUGCAAUAAGAACUACAGCGCUGCUUGGAGACAGGGUUCUGUCGAUCCCCGCUCACCAUGCACAGUGCAUGGGCUGAGCCACGGGGGGGGCCUGGAGCCCCGGUGCUGCAGCUCCAGCUGGCAGCACAGUGCUGUUGCUGCUGUCCAGGACGGGGCUGUGUGCUUCCAGGCUGGGUGGAGUGUUUCUUCAGGCAUUUUCCAGGUGUGACAGGAUGGCACCAGUAAUCCUCCCUGUGUGUGCCCUUUCUGGAGCGGCAGGGAGACGCUGCAAGAGUAGAACUGGGAGAGUGGUCACAGCUACUGCUGACAGCCAGGUGCCAGCUCAGCACUUUCCUUUACCCCACAAAACAAAGCUGCCGUCAUAGCAAGGACCCAUAAAAUGCACGGCAUUCCGAGUGUGGAGAUUAGUGGUAAUUUUACAAGGACUCAAAUAACGUUGGUCUGCAGGGUGCAGCACUGCCUUGAAAGGGAACAGCAGACAUUUCCCCUGGAAGCAAGUUUCCUCUUUGGAGCAGUUUGCAGCUGAAGCGCAGCGUCAGAUUGUGGCACAAAUAUCCUAUCGGCCCUGGGUUGGGAGGUGGAUAUCUGAUACCUCUUUCUGUUGCCGAAACGUGCUGCCCAGACAAGGCUCCCAGCACAGUUAUUUUUUGAAGCAUUAUGUAAUUGGAUUGCGUGGUCAGUAGUGCUUCCUUAACGAGCCUUUCAGCGAGCCCUCCGCCUGCCGCAGCCAAUCCUCAGCCCUCUCAUACACACUCACGCAGGCUCAGUCUGGAGUAAACUCGCUGCUAAAUACAGUUAGAGCACGGAUGGAGCGGGCUGGGAAUAGAGCACUGCCGCUGCGGAGCUCCCCCUGGACACUGCCUUGGCCCCGAGGGGACCACGCACAGUGCCACCAGCGUCCUCUUUGCCCGGUGUGGGCACGGACCAGAGCUUGUGGUUCCCGGGGCCGGUCCCAGCCUCUGCCACUGCUCCAGGCCCUGAGUGACCCUGGGGCCCUCCCCUUCCCUUCCCGUCACCCCAUGCUGGGAGUCAGUGGACACACAGCGUUAGGAACUCAGUCCCGGUGUCCCCACAGCCAGGCCAUGGGCCGGGGCUCGCAGCCUGCAGCCACCUGGCCCUCAGCCCCUGCUGGGCUGGGCAGGGUUUGGCCGUCUCUCCAGCCGCUGUCCGUGCACAGUUGUGGCUCUGCUGAGUCACCGCUUCCUGUUUGUGAUUGCUGACUGGUGGGAGCAGUUGCAAAGCAAUAAGAGAUAUUAAAAAGUGUGAACUUCCACUGGGACCAGAAGAUACAAUCGGGGCCGUGCCAAGAAAUACACUGCAGCAAGCGGCUGUUUAAAGGGAUGCUGAGCCCUGUGCACCCUGUUCCCUGCUACAGGAAGUGGGAAAAUGAGCGUCACUGCCUUUAUCAGGUCUGAACCCAAAUAAAAUUGCACUCGAGUGCUCGGGCACUCACUGGUUCCUUUCCAUGCACCUCAGGGCUGCAGCUCAUCCUGCCCAGCCCCCCACCUGCUGCCCCAGCUGCCGGCAGGGCGCAGGGAGCCCCCGUUCACCGCGUAGCGGUUCUCCUCCAGCGCUGACGUGGUGCUGAGGGAAGGGGCUGCUUCCAAAGGCAGCCAUAAUGCACCUGCCUUCUUUUUUUUUAAUGGGAAACAUCCCUGGGGAAAAGCAUGAAAGUAUAUGGGGAAGGUGCUCUCUGAUCAUUAGGAUCUAAAUGCAGCAUCCAUGCAGCAUCUGUGCUUCUUCAUAUUAUGCUGUAAUCUGUCUUACAGUGAUGUUACUCUGUGGGCAUUUCCCUGCCUGUCCUUUCUUUGCUCGAGCAUUUGGAGUCAUUUAUUGCCAGUAGUUUCAUCUCCAGCCCCGGUCAUUGUUGUCUCCAAAAGUUCUUCCUCCACUCUCUUGUUUGUUGUAUUUAUAUAGGCCUUUCAAUUCGUAUUUUAAAUCCAUAUAAACAUUUUGGCCUCUUGGAAUAUGUGUUCUGCUUACUAAGCUUGGCACAGGAGUUAGAGGAUGAAAUUCUAUGGACCAUCAGUGGAGGAUAGAAUCAUACUCAUACUGCCCUGCUCUGGGUUGAAGCUGCAGUAACUUUCAGCUAAGAAAGCACGCGUAGCUUUCUCAGUGGCAUUAGGCUGAUCCUUAUUUUUUUUAACCCUGUGACAGACACAGGGCUGAGGACUGGCUUAGAGAACAUGUCUUAGGGAAAAAAAAAAGCAAAAAUAGCCUCAGUUAUUUCAACAAAUACCAAAAGUGGAUUGAGAGUGGAUGAAGAGGAGGAGGAGGCAAUAGUGAACACACAGCACAGUUCAAGCUGGCAAGGAGCCCUUUCUUGAAGAAUGUAAGUUUAACCUUUAGCAUUCAAGUGUCUGGGCUUAAGUGUCAUUAUGAGCAAUGCUUUCCUCCAGCACAGCCACUCCUGCCUGGAGGAGGGUUCUGUGCAACCCCAUCUGUUUUCCCCUUUCCUUUACAGUGUACAAAAAUACGUAUUUGUGUGCUUGUGUUCAGCGAAGCUACUUGUGAUGGCAGCCCCGUACGUGACAAAAGCAGGAUGCUGCUGGCUGGCUCCUAGAAGGAGCAGCUCAGAGCGCUCAGGGAGGCUCUGGUGCAGCUCGUGCCCCAUAGAUGGAGUUCCCUGCCACCACCAGGCCAGCGCUCGCUGGCUGCGUACAGGGCCAGUUGCGUGCCCUGGCCUCACAAGGGGAGCACAAGGGCCAUGGUGGGGGCUCCCACAGGCAGUGCUCUGCAGUUGCCCCUUUGUUCUGGGCUCUCACCAGGUACCUCUGCAGCUCCUGAUGCGUUCUGGCUGCAGGAAGGAGGAGGCUCUGCUAGUGGAUUGCUUUUGCAAGAAGCAGGCUAAAAUGAGGAGGAGGGAGGGAUGGGCCUGGUGUCAUCGCGCCCGUCCAUCCCCCUGCCCCCCCCGGUGCAAUACAGUUAAUCUCACCUCUUGAUGAAGGCAACAUAGAAAAGAAUUAGAGAGACAGCAGCAGACAAAUGUCAGACCUGGCUGCAGACGGACAGGCUCGAUGUGCCCCCCAAAUCAUCUCCAGCUGUAAAACACUUCAGGGCUGAUAGAAACCACACGCAUCCCAGGCAGAACCGAUCUGCAAAGCUGCAUUCCAAUAAAAAUGCAGUACAGACAUAAAAGAAAUGCUGCCUGGGAUUCCUGUCCGGCUUUGGGGGCAGGGAGGCAGCCCUGUCCCUCCUCGCUGCUCUGUAAGGCCGGGCUCGGGCCCUCGCAGUCUCCGCCGCUGCCGCUCCCCGGCGCUCGGUUCCCAGCUCCAGCCCUCAGAGGGCACAAAUCAAAGCAGCCACAUGGGCUAAUAGGGGAGGGUCAGGGUUAGCUGCAGGGUACAUUGCUGCCUGAAAUCACAUGCCGGCAUCCGAAUUUCAAUAAGCACGCCUCAUGUCUGAGGCUGUGCUGCAAAUGUCAGAUGUGCUUAUGUUAAAUACAGGUAAUAUUCUGAAUGUACGUUUGAGAGCAUGAUUAUUUCAGAUACCUUGUCUGAUGAAUUUUGCAUCUCGUAUUUGUGAUUUAUUUUAUACGAAGUACACACUCCCUUCUCGUUUCCACCUUUUGUAUAAGCUCAGGUUUUGGUUUUAGAGGAACAAAAACAUGCAUGUAUGAGAGGUAAAGAUGGACUAUUUGAUUAGCUGCAGCAAAGAUGCUAUAUCGGAUCAGAUUUCCCACUGCUUACAGCAUAGGCUCUGAGUACACGGUUACUAUACAGUAAGUGCAGCUGGUAUUGGUUCUUAACGUAUCGAACAAUUUGAUGCAGGCUUUUCUGCAAAUCUCCAUUUUAAAUCUAAAAUAAUUUGGACGGGAGGGGCAGUGGGGACGUGCCCUGAGGCACGCGGUGCCUGGAUCACAGGGCAGCAGGGUCCCUGCCCAGCCCUGCAGGGAGCACCCCCAGCACCACAGGACAGCGCGUUGGUUCGGUGGCCGCAUUGACGCGCUCUGGGUUGUGUGGACAUGGCCCUGUAAAGCAGGAUUCUUCUCGGUGCUGAAAACCCUUUUUUUUUCUUUCUAGCUUAGUGCAAAUUGUAAUUUUAUUUCAUAACUUAUUUCCCCCUCUUUCCUUUUAAGACGGUUCCCAAACAUUUAUUGUGGGAUUUUUCAUUUAAAAUAGUUUUCUAGGGAAAUUACUGUGACAGUGAUUUAAUUGUUUAAUUAAAAUCUGACAUUGAUGACAACAUAAAUACAAUAGGCAUGAGGUGAUAUAGGCAUUAAACAAGUGCAAUUGUGGAAUACAUCCACAGAGUACACUGAGCAUACAGAGCAGCUCACAAAGAAAUGACGUUCAAUAUUUAUCAGGUUAGUGUGUCCUAAUUAAAUGCCAAGACUUUUUUCUUCGUUUCUUUCAAAAAAAGCAAAGAAACAUACAGAUGUAUGCCAAGUGUUUAUUUCCAUCGCAGACAAGUCUGCUGGUCUUGUGUUAGGGCCUGCAAAAAAAGCACGUUCCCAUUGAAGAUGUGCUCGGUGACUCGGGGGCCACUGCUGAGCCUGACUGCAGCCACUGCGGAGGUGUGAAGCGCCCACUGUGUCCCACCGCCGCAGGGCUGUGCUGAGCCCCCCGGUUACAAAAUGGAUGGAUGGGUGUAUUUUAAUAUUUGAGUACAAAACUGCAGGUCUGUUGAAGACAAAAGAGGAGAGGAAACGGUGCUCUGAAUUGCUCUGAAUAUUCCCCCCCAGUCCAAAUCUCUCGCAGAUCCUCCCGUGUGCGUUUGUUCUAAACAUGUGCAUUCCCCCCAUGUCUCUCCCCUGCCCACAACAAUACAGACGUGCUGCCAGAAGGAACACACGUCUCUGCCCGGAUUGCUCAGCAGUGCAUCUCUCCAGCCCCGUUCUAAGCCCUGCUGCAUUUCUGCAUCCCAACAAUGAACGUGCUGCCGCUGGAAUAUCCCCAUCCAUGCCUCUUGCUGGGCGUCUUUAAAUGGUAUCAGAUCGCUUCUGCGGCUCACACAGCCCUUUGCAAUCAGUCGCUUCUCAUCAGCUGCUUUCCUCCCUUUCCCCACUCCUAAAUAAAUGCAUCUGCUCCAGCCCAAUUCAUGUCAGCCUUCCCCCUUUCUGGUGUGCAACUUCACGCAAACAAACUUUCUGAAUAAAAAGGCAGUGUACCUGGGCAGUGCUUUGAGCAUAAGGUAAUAACUGAUGGAGCAGACAUCCCAACUCCAGUGCAGGGAUUUGAUUGCAAAUUUCCAUUGCAAAGGAGGAGAGGGAACUGGAAAUCUGACAAAUGCCUUCAAAUUGACCUGUGUUUUCACAAUGCACGCUGUGUUUAAAAUGAAUGGCAGACUUUAUCAUUUGGAGCUCCUUCAAGGACUCCAGCCCUCUGCGCUUUGUUCUAAUGCUUCAGACGUAUUUCCAAGAAGCACAAGGCUGUGUAAGUGGAUGAUAUUAUGGAGAUUUUCUUCCCCACAAUAAUUUUUAAAGCCUGAAUUUUAAAAGCCAGCCUGGAACCUUCUCCUCCCCACGGCCACGUGCUCUCCCGUGUGCCACGCAGGGCAGCCUGCAGCCUCCCGUGCCCCACGGACUCCAUCCCAGCCCCACAUGCUGCCCCGGGGACACUGCGGCACGGCCACAGCUCCCCAGAAAUCACUGCCACCCGUGCAGCUCUGCCGUUGCUGCCUCGGGAUGCGCCUCGAGCUGAGCUGCGCGGCAUUGCUGCAGGAGAGCUGCACAGCUCCUUGCAGGGCCAGGGAAGCCCGAGGCUGCUCACCUUUAUGGUGCAUCUCAAAGAAAACAGGCACCUUUGUGAAAAGUAAUGUCCAGAAAGCCACAUGCACCACGGCAGAAGCCAAACAUUCUGCAUUAACAUUGUUCCUCUUAAUCCUCACAUAUUUUAACAAAUAUUUUUUCCUUUAUGGCACAAGUAUUUAGUUCCAUUUGUUCAAAAUAACGUACAAAUGAAGAAUACAGUUCAGUGUGCAAAUACAUCAGGUGUGCUGCAAGACAAAAGAGGGGGUUCAUCUCAUAAUACUGGCACCUUCAGAAAGUUUCUUACGGGAAAAAUCUUAUUUUUUCCUGCAACUCUGAUAGUGAGAGGUUCUUUUUACUGAGCACAGUAAGAGAGAUUUGAACCAGAAAUCCCAUCCGUGGAUACAUAGAGCCACACGGACGGAACCAAGGGGCGUCCACAGCGCAGCAGGCAGGGCUGUCGGGGUUUCCAGAUAGCACAGGGUGGGCUCUCCCUGUAUUUUUGGAACCGGGUCGUCUUUUCGCCCAGCACAAAGAAGUCUUAAUGGGAGUAAAUCUGCUAGAGGAGAAACGUGCGCAUACGUGUGUUCGAAGGCUGUACCCAACCAUUACUGUACAAAUUGCUCCUUGAUUCCCUGGAUGUGUUUUGGUGCUGCAUGGGGCUGCUUGCCUCUCUGGGUAUUCCUUGCUUGCGCCCUUCUUUGCACACCCAGACACGCGCACACCUUGCCACUUCUUCUGGCACCCUGGCAGAAAUGGGAAAAUAGGAUCUCUGCCUUUCUCUGUGCUCAGAACGAGGGCAGAGCUUCGCCCCACACUCAGCCUGUGCUCCCCUCCCAGCCGCUGCCGGCUCUGCCCGCGCCAGGGGACAGCAGUGCCCUCGGCCUUGACCCCAGCCGGGCUGCUCCUGGGGGCCGCGGCCAUGGGCUGCCCCCGCUCCCGCUUAACCCUUCCGCUCCUGGCGCUGACCCCGCGGCCGCUGCCCUCCUCCCUUUGGGGCACUCGGGAUCGCCGUGGGAGCAUAAAAGGACAGGAAUGCGGGAGCGGCUGUCACGGGAGGGCACAGCACACGGCCGGAGCACCACUGCAAGGAGAGGGAGGUUUGGUUUGCGUUAGCGACCCAGACAGAUGCACUUCGGCAUGUUUGCCUUUAUGGAAUCCAUAUGUUGUCAUGGGAAAUUAAAGGACGGCAACACAGAACUGGAACGCAUGACACAAAUGCAAAGAAAACGCACAAGACUACCAGACUGCAUCCGCGUGCGUGGGCUCAGGUGCCUGUUCCCACAGCAUCAGUUAUAGGUCCCCAUGCCACCUUCCCCACUUGUUUACUUUUUCUUUACUCCACAGAAGCUCACUCGGGCAGCACCCAUUCCCCGCUGCCCCGCAGCCUCCCCGCACAUCGCACCGAGCACUGGGAUGGCAUUGCCAGAACACAUUCGUCUCACGCUCAGAACAACAGUUAGACAUUACGUGCGCCUCCAUACGCAGCACACCGAGCAGCCCCGAACAAUUCCGCCUGCCGGAGGGCUUCUUGCUUUGGGUAUUUUUGUGUUGAUUUUUUUUUGAAGAAGUUCCUGCCCCACAGAGCCAGGCAAACACAUCUGGAGCAACGGCUGCCAGAAUGGAGCCAGCACUGUGCUGGGUCCGUCCAUUUCACAAAUCAAAGAACCCACAGCAUGCGCAAUUCAACCGUACACACUCGGUGCUGCAUUUACAAUAUUCAGACAACUGUAGUACACACUGAACCUCGAUCCGCAGCGCUGGGAAUAUCUCCAAAACAUGAGACGCUUCCAGCAGGACCCAGCAUAGCCUCCCACAAUUUCUAGGAACCGUUCCUGCUCUGUUUCCCCCCCAUCCCACCGAAGGGAUGUGUCAAAAUCCCAGCGACAGCCGCCACGCUACGAAAUACAGAAAGCUCAAUACAUUUCAGUGAAAUACCAACAAACAUGCAGCUUAUUACCUUCGGUAUAAAAUACAUCUACAUUAAGGUUCUCUCAAAUGGAAAAACUGACCGCAACUGCAUUCCUUGUUCAAUGCUAUGAAAUGCACCAGGAAGUUAAUUAUUUGGGUUACUAUUUAAAAGACGGGGAAAAAAAAAAAAAAAAAAAGGAAAAAGGAAAAAAAGCCAUUUGAAAAGCUUCCUUAGAUUUUCAAGAGAUGAUUUAAUUCAGCUGCAUUUCUGCCAGUAAUAAAACAGUCUCUUAGAGGAGGAUGAAGAAAACAUAUUCCUGAAUCCUGGACAGAGGUUCUUUGCUGGUUCACCUCCUGAAAUUGAGAUUCCCCCCUUCCCAGCAUCCACCUAUAUUUUUUGCCAAGGUUGGGUUGGGAAGGAAAAGCUGCUGGAAAUAGAAAAAUUAAAUAAUAAUCACAAAUGGACGCAAACACAACGUGAAAAAUGUUACCGUAACACCAGAGAAGUAUUUAUUUAAUCAAACCAGAGGUUCUGCUGGGACUGCAGGAAUGUUGCAUCCUUGCCUUAAAAAAAAAAAAGAUGAAGAAAAAAAAAGGAAAAAAAAAAGGGGGGGAAAAACAAGAAAAAAAUGAGGAGGGGGUUGGGGGGGGGGGGAAGAGAAAGCAAGAAAGAAAAAAGGCAGAGGCACAGCCGCCUCCUGGAGUUCCCCAUUGUCCGGGGCUAUAGAGAGCCCCAGAAUGGCAUUAAACUCACAAAAGGCAUAUUGUGCAGGGGACAAAAAAAGCCCCUUCUUCUACAAUAACUUUUAGCUUCUUAUUUUUAGAAAAUGACAAAGCUGUUGCCAGCGCUGGCUGGUGAAACCUGUAGCCCGGCUCCCGGCGCGCCCGCAUCCAUCAGCCGUCCCGCGCGGAGGCGGCCGCAAAGUUUGCACGGGCCGGGCCGGGCAGCGCCCAGCGCCGCGGGGAUGCGAUGCCGCGGGGCCGCUCCGCUCCGCGCCGCGCGGGGCGCCCGCCCCGAGGUGCUCUCUCCGCCGCCCGCAACUUUCCCGGCUCCUCCCGGGGAACUUCGGCGGCGGGGGUCGUCCUCGCCCUGCCCUGCG